rnacentral:rRNA from 1 species
UACGUAGGGUGCGAGCGUUAAUCGGAAUUACUGGGCGUAAAGCGUGCGCAGGCGGCUUUGCAAGACAGAUGUGAAAUCCCCGGGCUUAACCUGGGAACUGCAUUUGUGACUGCAUGGCUGGAGUGCGGCAGAGGGGGAUGGAAUUCCGCGUGUAGCAGUGAAAUGCGUAGAGAUGUGGAGGAAUACCGAUGGCGAAGGCAGCCCCCUGGGAUGAUACUGACGCUCAUGCACGAAAGCGUGGGGAGCAAACAGG